AAAUCAUUUUGGCUAUACAAAUUUUGCAUACUCUUUUUCAAUUGUUUAUAUGUGUAAUAUGAUGCUUAGAAGGGAAGCAGAAUAAUGAAAAAAAUGGAAGUGAGAGCAAGGCUGUUAAUGCUCACAGUAUUGACUCAAAUGCCAUUUUUUCCCAUCCCAUUUUUUUUCAGAGGGACCAAUUUCCAUUAUCUUGGCAACAAGCAAUCCUUGGGAAAUCUACCUGUUGUAGCUUGUUGCUUAAACAAGUGCUUUCUUUGGGAUACACUCAAGCUAAAAGAAUGAUGAGAGAAAGGGUCUUAGACAAAGAAUUCCAGGAUGAGGUCGACCAUAAUUGUGGGAAAUCAUUCACAAAUUUUGUAGUUAAUCCAAAUCAAUACAUGCGCAUGGCAGAAGCUACUUUGAAAUAUACUUUAAGGUUUUUCAGAAGUGGAUUGCCAUUGCCUCCUUCCUAGGGCUGAGAGGAAGUGACUGGCCGAAGGUCAUCAAGUUGGCUGAGUGCCCAAGGCAGGACUACAACUCAUGGUCUCCUGGUUUCUAACCUUGUCUCUUAAAGUCUGGCUGAUCUCUGACUCUCAAUAUGUUACAAGAAGUCAAAAUUUACUAAUGAUCACUUACCUAGAUUUCAUUUUUAAAAAGUGUCAAUAUGUAACACAAAGUUCAUUGUGACACGUGGUAAAAAACACUUUAGAAAAAGCUUUAUAAAAACUUCUGUAUUUGUUCAUAGCCUACUUUAAUGUCACACAUAUGAAUUCUACAAGCUACAAAGGCAAACUUUGGAAUCUUUAACUGCCAAAAGAAACUGCAGGUUGAAUUCUUCUGUCCAUUCUGAAAAUAGGCUAAGAAGAAGUGUUCAUAAUUCAUUGUGUGUGUCUUGAUAAAAAUUACACUACAGGCAUUCCAUGAUUCAAUGCUUCCAUUUUUGCAGGGGAUGAAGCAAUAAUAUGGGCAGGAUAUAAUAAAAUAGCAUAACAAGGCUAUAUUGAGAAUUUCAAAGACUAAAUAUUAUCUGGAGAUUUUGCCAUAAGACAGUCAUGAUAAACAGAUAUUUUACAAGAGAGCUGGCCUAAAGAGCUUUUGAGAUACUUUCCAACCAUACAAUUCCGCAUAAUAUACUGAACAGAUCUAUAAUUUUAAAAAUAUAGUCCUAAAGAAGCUAAAACUUCUUAUCUAGAGAGAGAAAAUCUGUUCACUUACUGUACCGUUUCAAUUCUCCUAGACACGAAUAAAUUCAUGCAUAAGAAAAUGUAUACUGCACUGAAGAGUUUUAUCCUUUCAGAUUUGUAACUAACUGAACUGUGUUACCAACUGAACUGUGCUACAAACUUUAAUACAACUUUAAAUGUAUUUACACAGAAAGUAAUUAAAAAAAAUCUAAACAAACCAU